GGCUGAGCGAAAGCGUUAAGUAAUCCACCUGGGGAGUACGUUCGCAAGAAUGAAACUCAAAGGAAUUGACGGGGGCCCGCACAAGCGGAGGAACAUGUGGUUUAAUUCGAUGAUACGCGAGGAACCUUACCCGGGCUUGAAAUGCAUCUGACAGGGGCAGAGACGUCCUUUCCCUUCGGGGCAGAUGUGUAGGUGCUGCAUGGUUGUCGUCAGCUCGUGCCGUGAGGUGUCGGCUUAAGUGCCAUAACGAGCGCAACCCUCAUCAUUAGUUACCAUCAGGUUAAGCUGGGGACUCUAAUGAGACUGCCAUCGUAAGAUGCGAGGAAGGUGGGGAUGACGUCAAAUCAGCACGGCCCUUACGUCCGGGGCGACACACGUGUUACAAUGGGUGGUACAAAGGGCAGCUACAUGGCGACAUGAUGCUAAUCUCCAAAACCACUCUCAGUUCGGAUCGGAGUCUGCAACUCGACUCCGUGAAGCUGGAUUCGCUAGUAAUCGCGCAUCAGCCACGGCGCGGUGAAUACGUUCCCGGGCCUUGUACACACCGCCCGUCAAGCCAUGGAAGCCGGGGGUACCUGAAGUUCGUAACCGCAUAGGAGCGACCCAGGGUAAAACCUGGUAACUGGGGCUAAGUCGUAACAAGGUAGCCGUACCGGAAGGUGCGGCUG
rnacentral:rRNA from 1 species